UACGAAGGGGGCUAGCGUUGCUCGGAUUGACUGGGCGUAAAGGGCGCGUAGGCGGUCUGUACAGUCAGGCGUGAAAUUCCUGGGCUCAACCUGGGGGCUGCGUUUGAUACGUGCAGACUAGAGUGCGGAAGAGGGUCGUGGAAUUCCCAGUGUAGAGGUGAAAUUCGUAGAUAUUGGGAAGAACACCGGUGGCGAAGGCGGCGACCUGGUCCGAUACUGACGCUGAGGCGCGAAAGACGUGGGGAGCAAACAGG
rnacentral:rRNA from 1 species